rnacentral:lncRNA from 1 species
CUGGAAUCUAAGCAAUGUGCCAAUAUUCCUGUCACAGAAUCAAAAUCUUCUUUCAAAAUGCAAACAACCUUAACCCCCACAACAAAAUAAUGACCCAUAACCGAAUGUUCAGCCAGUCUACUGUAUGACCAUUUUGCUUCCUGUAAUCCCCGGCAACAAAAAUGUCUGUGGUUAGAGGCAGUCCCAUCAAGCAGGAGCCCAGUGAAAAAGCCCAUCCACAAUGUGAAGAACAAGUAGAUUAAAUGAAGCAGAUGCUAGAUUACCAGGCCAAAUCUAGACAUGGCUGCAUGCUUCCUAUCAUACAGAAAUCAUGUAGCCCUCCGACAGCAGAGGGAAAAAAAGACUUUCCUUGUUGGUGGUAGUAAUGGAAAUUUACAGUUUUAAAAGCAUCAAAACUGCCCAGUCAUUAAAACAUGACAGUGUUUGGAAGAAAACACUCACUUAACGUAUUCCCAUGAGAGUUGUUCUCCAUGAACUCAGAAACGUUUAGUGUAAGAGUCAUUGAGCCAAACCCAGGAAGUGCUAGGCCAAUGAGGAACAUGCAAUUCAGGAAAGGAAGAGGCAAGAUUGGAGGCCACAUCCCACCCAACAUCAACUCAUUCCACUCUCGUUUGGCUCCGGAUUUGAAAUCCUUCAAAUCAGAAGUUUGCCAGCAUGGCCCCAAUUUGCACUCCGAAGGUCCCUUCCACGUUGCAGUGCUCCAACCUGAACCCAGGUGAAGUUGAAGAACCCCAUCCACACCUCACCAGAUUGUAUCCUCACCACUAUCUGAACUUUUCCCUGCUCACAUUCUAUGUCCCAAGAUGAUAUCCUAAGAUGACGGAGGAGUGCCUCAUCAUGACCUUAAACACGUGCUCAGCUGGGAGCUGAAUUCUAUGUAAAGUCAAAGGAUUCAGCAGACAGGACUGUUAGUGUUUCUUUCUGGGUUGGCCACAGGACAAUGAAACACUGGGAGAUGACUGCUUUUUGGUGUGGUGUGCUUCUCUUCUUUUCAGAAGUUUUUGUUUGUUUGUUUGUUUGUUUUCCCAAGGGGAGGGGAUUUGGGCAUCGAUGAGUCUCAGUCUGACUCCAAAUUUACUGCGGAUUCAUGAUCAUGAUCCACAGAAAAAAUAAAUAGCACAAAGCCUCGAAGCCCAAGCAGAGCCACACAGAGAGACCAACAAAAGGUUUGGAGACUUAAAAAAAAAAAAAAAAAUGAAG